CCUACGGGUGGCAGCAGUGGGGAAUCUUCCGCAAUGGGCGCAAGCCUGACGGAGCAACGCCGCGUGAAUGAAGAAGGUCUUCGGAUCGUAAAGGUCUGUUCUUAGGGAAGAAGGCUGAGGUGGUGAAUAAUGACUGAAGGUGACGGGACCGAGGGAGAAAGCUCCGGCUAACUACGGGCCAGCAGCCGCGGUAAUACGUAGGGAGCGAGCGUUGUCCGGAAUUACUGGGCGUACAGGGCGCGUAGGCGGGAACUUAAGGUAGAGGUGAAAACUCCGGGCUUAACCUGGAGACUGCAUUUAAAACUGGGUUUCUUGCGGGCAGGAGAGGCAAGUGGAAUUCCUAGUGUAGCGGUGAAAUGCGUAGAUAUUAGGCGGAACCCCAGUGGCGAAGGCGACUUUCUGGACUGUACCUGACGCUGAGGCGCGCAAGCCUGGGGAGCGAACAGGAUUAGAUACCCUAGUAGUC
rnacentral:rRNA from 1 species